UGUUGCCUGAUCCUGCCAGGCACCUGUUCCCCAUGCAAAGAUCAUCUGUCAGUCCAGUUGUAUGGAUAUCCAUCAUUCGACCAGCAACAUUCUUACACACAGCUUCAAGUUUUAGAGGCUAUACGUGGUGACAAGAUAAACAAUUACCUCCUGCAUGACAUUCCUUGGUGGUGGCCCUUGUCAGUUGUUGUGCCUGUCCAAGUGGUCCUCUCAACGGAAGUCAAGGGAAGAAUGACAAAAUGACUUAAGAGUCGAUCAAGCCGCAGAUUUAUUGCAUCAAGAAACAUGUGAAGCACAUAAGGUCUAUCAACUGGCUUCAAGGCUUAGCUUUUCAAAUAAAUACUUCUUGUGGUAGUGGAUGGACAAGUAACAAACAACAUAUGACUAAUCUGUCUAUGUUUGAGGGACAACUUAUUUAUCAUCACCUAAAAUGAGUAAACAUUUUUACUUUAUUUUGUUCUUCUUUUUGUAUGCAAGAGGUAGGUAUGGGAUAGGGUUUAUAAGUUUCUUUGUAUUUCAAAUAAUUUUUAAUUUUUUUCUAUUUUAGAAGACAAUAUUUCUCUACUACCAAUUAUUGAAGGGUUAGAAGAAAGAGAAUCAUGAAAAGAAAAUAAAGACCAUUAGUACUUAUGUAGAGAUUAUGGUCGCUGAUACAAAAUCUGACUCAAAAGUCGCUUGUCUCUGGAUUAAUGUGUUUUGAAUACUAUAAUGGCUCCCUCAAAUCAUUCAUUUUAGUAAUUUUAAGAUAUUGGAGAUGUCAUUAACGCUGUAUU
rnacentral:lncRNA from 1 species